UACGAAGGUCCCAAGCGUUAUCCGGAUUUAUUGGGUUUAAAGGGUGCGUAGGCGGACUAUUAAGUCAGUGGUGAAAGCCCCCAGCUUAACUUGGGAACUGCCAUUGAUACUGAUGGUCUUGAGUACAUUUGAGGUGGGCGGAAUGUGUCAUGUAGCGGUGAAAUGCUUAGAUAUGACACAGAACACCGAUUGCGAAGGCAGCUCACUAAACUGUAAACUGACGCUGAGGCACGAAAAGCGUGGGGGAGCAAACAGG
rnacentral:rRNA from 1 species